rnacentral:rRNA from 1 species
UACGUAGGGAGCAAGCGUUGUCCGGAAUCAUUGGGCGUAAAGCGCGCGUAGGUGGCCCUGUAAGUCCGUUGUGAAAGUCAAAGGCUCAACCUUUGAAAGCCGAUGGAUACUGCAGGACUAGAGUACGGAAGAGGCGAGUGGAAUUCCUGGUGUAGCGGUGGAAUGCGUAGAGAUCAUGAGGAAGACCAGUGGCGAAGGCGGGUCUCUGGACAGUUCCUGACACUGAGACACGAAGGCCAGGGGAGCAAACGGG